rnacentral:lncRNA from 10 species
AGAACUCUGCCACAUGUGUCAAAGCUUCCUUUCUUCUAGGAUGGCUUGAUCAGGAGGCUCUUCAGGUGUGGCUGCCAGCAGUACCAAACUUUUCCUUACAACUUAGCAACUCUAUUCCAGCAAAGUCCCAGGCUAGUCACAUGCCAUGCUAAUUUCUGAAUCUGUCACCAUGACUCUGUCCAAGUCUGGCUUCUGUCGAGCUCUGAAGCCAGAACGUGAAAUUGGCCCCAUGAAACCACAUGGCCCGAAGGACCAAGUCUUUGCAAAACCUAUCAAAUGGAUGGAUGGCUUCAAGACAGCAGAGAACCCACAAGCUUGAAGAGGCCUCCGGAGAGUUCACUCAGGAUAAACGGGGUGCUGGCAUCGUCCUGGUCCUCUCUGUACAGUAACAGUGUUACAGCCCUGUGAGUUCAGUAGUAAAGGAUCUGGAGUCCAUGGGGAAAUUCUAAGGAGAUCAAUGGAACUGAUAUAUUAUAUAGCCAAAUACUUAUUAAUAAAGUAACCAUCCUUAUAAA